UAGCUGGCUGCAUUUAGGUGAAAACUCACCUCUUUCGACAUAUUUUUGUGUAUUUGUCCAUUUAAGCGCACACCCUAAGCCCAAAGUACCCAAAUACUUGUUUUCGCUCCGCCUCGAAUUGCGCACACAAAAAGCCACCUGGGCAACAGCCUCUCUUUCACAACUCAGUGAGCUUUUUUCUUUUUUAGUAUUAAGCACAUCGGACAGGAGACUGUACAACAUGUAACUGUCACGGUUCACGGGUCUGUGUGUUCAUCUUGCGUCUCUGUCUGCUCUCUGUGUUCCUGCUUCACGUCCUGCCUGCACUGGAUUAGUCGGCACUCACCUUGGACUUACCUGCACAGAGUUGGAUACUCUUCACUGAGCAAGACGCAAUGGGACAUGUUCUUAUAUGGCCUUUCUGAUGCCAUCAAGGACGAGAUCUAUCUAUAAGCAGAGACGCAGGGAGAGGGGACUGUGUUUGUAUUGUGGAACUGCCGGUCACAUCGCUCUGCAUUGUCCAGUAAAAGCCAGUGCCCGCCAGUAGCUCUCCGUGUUCCUGCCUCACGUCCUGCCUGCACUGGAUUAGUCGGCACUCACCUUGGACUUACCUGCACAGAGUUGGAUACUCUUCACUGAGCAAGAGUUCUUUGCUGUUAUUAAUAAACUUAUUAUUGCACUCACA